UCCAGCUGAACGUCACCAUAGUACCUGGCUGGUCAUCAAAUGCACAAAUUUCAGAAUGCAUAAUUUUUGUCCCUGUUCGUGCCCAGCAGGAAGUUAGGGGAUUUGCCUAAAUGGGGUUUUCAGACCCCAUUUAGCUUGUGGGGUGUGAAUGAUGCUGGAGAGGUCAUCUGUAGGAGAGCAGCUGCUGUCUGGGAGCAGGAGAGCCCGGCUGCCAUGGAAACCAUGCCUUCAAACACCCUGAACUUGCAGCACUAGCCUUGGGAGAGGAUUCCAGUGGUGAAGCUCAAAGAACGGGAUGCUGGAGGCGGUGUAAAGGUGGAGAAGUGGGAAGGUGUAAGGUUGACUGUGGCAGGAACAUGUCUGGGCUGUUCAGCCAAGACACUGCACAAGGACCUUAAUCUGUCAUACUGGAAAAUUUAAGAUCAGGGUUUUUUUCUACAAAGAAAGUGCUGAGGUGAAAGACUGCAAAUUGCAGUUUAAGAGUUGAACACCAGAAGAAUCUUGGAAGGACAAAAGUUGUGGAAGCUAUUAGGAAGGUGGACUGAGAGAAAAAUACCAUUCUCCUUUUGAGAAUAACAGGAUCUGUGUCAGUGAAAACAGAUGGAAACAGAAUUGUACAUAGGACCAAUGACCCUGGUGUGAAGAUGAUGAGAAAACUUCACUUAGGAGGUGACUACAUCUACAGAUGUGCUAAAAAGGUGGAACUGUACUGCCUUGAGACAAAGCUGAAAUGGGGUUUUCUGUGAAGAACUGAGCAGGUUAGACAACUGCAAUUCCAGAUAAAACACCAGCAGUCAAGGUUGUGUAAGUACAAGCUGGGGAAAGAGCAUGCCACAGAACAUACUCUGGCAUGGGCAAGUAGUAACAGGCAUCAAGCCAUGGUGCUAAUCCUUCUUCAUCAGGAUAAUGCUAUGUCCUGGUGCAUACAAGUUCCUAAAUGAUGACACUGACUGGAGUGACCUUUAGGAAGCCCUCUCAAAUCAUUAGGCCUAAUUCUUCUUGUGAUUAUGUUACUUUAACUUCAGAGCUACUGCACUGACUUCAAGGCAGUUGGUUUGGAUUUACAUCUCUCAAGCUGGCCUAUUAUUUCCUGUAUUGUUUCCAGUUGCAUGAAAUCAUCUGUGCAUGUCCUCCAGGGCUGCUGAAACCCUCUGUCCUCCCCAGCACUACACAUGAUGCAAUGAGCCUCUGAUGGAGGAGGAAAGUCGAGAAGUCCAUGUAGGGAAGCAGAUAAUUUCCUUUA